CGGGACGUGGCGCAGUUUGGUAGCGCGCAGCGUUCGGGACGCUGAGGUCGCGGGUUCAAAUCCCGCCGUCCCGA
rnacentral:tRNA from 1 species